rnacentral:piRNA from 1 species
AUAAGUCCAUGCAGAAUGGAGAAGAG